UACAGAUCCGCUACCCGAUCUGGCAAACUUACAUAAUGCGGUUAUAGCUGAUAGAGGGCUGCAAAGCAAAUGCAGAAGUGCUGUUCACCCUGUUAUGAGUUGAUUAACCACUGAAACGAUUUUGGAAACAUUAUUUUAAGGUACAAAAGAAUCUUUGGUGUUGCUUUAACUAGUUAAGAAAACAUUACAGUGA